UUUAAAACCUUGUAUUUUAUUUUAUUUUGUUAUAAUGCCUUCCAUGUAUUUACUUUGUGCAAAUGAAUCGGUGCUGUAACUGAUUAUCAUCCUGUUGCCAGGAAGAGACUUUGGAAAGUGGAGCCUGGAUGUGCUUCACAGUCAAAAAUGUACAUGCUUGGACUUCUGGAUCGUCUGGUGACUUCAACUGUCUGGUCUCAGGGUGGAGAACUUUCUUUGAACGCCUAACCUGUGAGUCGAUGGUAAGAUUACAGUUAACACAAGCAUGGCUUUAGAAUGUGUUUUUUUUAAUUCCUGUCUAUUUUAAUUCAUUUACAAAUAGUACACACAGAACACAGAAUACAGAAUUAUGAAUGAAG
ensembl:lncRNA